AAUAUUGGACAAUGGGCGCAAGCCUGAUCCAGCCAUGCCGCGUGAGUGAUGAAGGCCUUCGGGUUGUAAAGCUCUUUUGGCGGGGACGAUGAUGACGGUACCCGCAGAAUAAGCCCCGGCUAACUUCGUGCCAGCAGCCGCGGUAAGACGAAGGGGGCUAGCGUUGUUCGGAAUUACUGGGCGUAAAGCGAGUGUAGGUGGUUAUCCAAGUUGGAUGUGAAAGCCUUGAGCUUAACUCAAGAAAUGCAUUCAGGACUGGAUGACUAGAGGACCGGAGAGGAUAGUGGAAUUCCCAGUGUAGUGGUGAAAUACGUAGAGAUUGGGAAGAACACCAGUGGCGAAGGCGGCUAUCUGGACGGUUUCUGACACUAAGACUCGAAAGCGUGGGGAGCAAACAGGAUUAGAUACCCUGGUAGUCCACGCCGUAAACGAUGGGUGCUAGACGUUGGCGAGCUUGCUCGUCAGUGUCGCAGCUAACGCGUUAAGCACCCCGCCUGGGGAGUACGGCCGCAAGGUUGAAACUC
rnacentral:rRNA from 1 species